AUUGAACGCUGGCGGCAGGCCUAACACAUGCAAGUCGAGCGGAUGAAGGGAGCUUGCUCCUGGAUUCAGCGGCGGACGGGUGAGUAAUGCCUAGGAAUCUGCCUGGUAGUGGGGGAUAACGUCCGGAAACGGGCGCUAAUACCGCAUACGUCCUGAGGGAGAAAGUGGGGGAUCUUCGGACCUCACGCUAUCAGAUGAGCCUAGGUCGGAUUAGCUAGUUGGUGGGGUAAAGGCCUACCAAGGCGACGAUCCGUAACUGGUCUGAGAGGAUGAUCAGUCACACUGGAGGUGAGACACGGUCCAGACUCCUACGUGAGGCAGCAGUGGGGAAUAUUGGACAAUGGGCGAAAGCCUGAUCCAGACAUGCCGAGUGUGUGAAGAAGGUCUUCGGAUUGUAAAGCACUUUAAGUUGGGAGGAAGGGCAGUAAGUUAAUACCUUGCUGUUUUGACGUUACCAACAGAAUAAGCACCGGCUAACUUCGUG
rnacentral:rRNA from 1 species